rnacentral:rRNA from 1 species
UCAAGUUAUUAAGGGUGCAGGGCGGAUGCCUUGGCACUAGGAGCCGAUGAAGGACGUGAUAAGCUGCGAUAAGCUUCGGGGAGUUGCACGUAAACUUUGAUCCGAAGAUUUCCGAAUGAGGAAACUCACUUAGAGUAAUGUCUAAGUAUCAUUAAGUGAAUACAUAGCUUAAUGAGGGGAACUCAGGGAACUGAAACAUCUAAGUACCUGAAGGAAGAGAAAGAAAUUCGAUUCCGUAAGUAGCGGCGAGCGAACGCGGAUUAGCCCAAACCAAUAAAGUUUUCUUUAUUGGGGUUGCGGACAUAUCAUAACGAAGAGGUAUCGUAAUUGAAGAGGUUUGGAAAGACCCACCACAGAAGGUAAUAGUCCUGUAUGUUAAACGAGAAGACUUCAGAUAUGAUCCAGAGUACCACGGGACACGUGAAACCCUGUGGGAAGCAGGAGGGACCACCCUCCAAGGCUAAAUACUACCUAGUGACCGAUAGCGUAUAGUACCGUGAGGGAAAGGUGAAAAGAACCCCGGGAGGGGAGUGAAAUAGAACCUGAAACCCUGCACUUACAAGCUGUGGAAGCACAUUUCUUGUGUGACCGCGUACUUUUUGUAGAACGGGCCAACGAGUUACGUUAAGUAGCAAGGUUAAGCACUUAAGGUGCGGAGCCGUAGCGAAAGCGAGUUUUAACUGAGCGUUCAGUUACUUGACGUAGACCCGAAACCGGGCGACCUACCCAUGAGCAGGAUGAAGCGAAAGUAAAAUUUCGUGGAGGUCCGAACCCACGAGCGUUGAAAAGCUCGGGGAUGACUUGUGGGUAGCGGUGAAAUUCCAAUCGAGCCCGGAGAUAGCUGGUUCUCCCCGAAAUAGCUUUAGGGCUAGCCUCAAGGUGAGAGAUACGGAGGUAGAGCACUGAAUGUCCUAGGGGGUAUUGCACCUACCGAAGACUAUCAAACUCCGAAUGCCGUCAUCUUAUACUUGGGAGUCAGACUGUGGGUGAUAAGAUUCAUAGUCGAAAGGGCAACAGCCCAGAUCGUCAGCUAAGGUCCCUAAAUGUAAGUUAAGUGGUAAAGGAUGUGGGAUUGCACAGACAACCAGGAUGUUGGCUUAGAAGCAGCCACUCAUUCAAAGAGUGCGUAAUAGCUCACUGGUCGAGUGAUCCUGCGCCGAAGAUUUCCGGGGCUAAAACUUACUACCGAAGCUACGGCAUCAGUAAUGAUGGGUAGGGGAGCUUCCCAUACGGGUUGAAGCAUGACCGUAAGGACAUGUGGACAGUAUGGGAGUGAGAAUGUUGGCAUGAGUAGCGAGAUGUGGGUGAGAAUCCCACAGGCCGUAAACCCAAGGUUUCCAGGGGAAGGUUCGUCCGCCCUGGGUUAGUCGGGACCUAAGCUGAGGCCGAAAGGCGUAGGUGAUGGACAACAGGUUGAUAUUCCUGUACUACCGAUAACCGUUUGAGAGAAGGGAUGACACAGUAGGAUAAGCUAAGCACACUGUUGGUUAUGUGUGCCCAAGCAUUGAGGCAGUCAAAGUAGGCAAAUCCGCUUUGAUAAUGCUGGGAUGUGAUGGGGAGCGAAAUUUAGUAGCGAAGUAGCUGAUUUCACACUGUCAAGAAAAGUCUCUAUCGAGGUUAAAGGUACCCGUACCGCAAACCGACACAGGUGGGUGAGGAGAGUAUCCUAAGGCCAGCGAGAGAACUGUUGUUAAGGAACUCGGCAAAAUGACCCCGUAACUUAGGGAUAAGGGGUGCCACCAUCAGGUGGCCGCAGAGAAUAGGCCCAAGCGACUGUUUACCAAAAACAUAGGUUUCUGCUAAGUCGCAAGACGAUGUAUAGGAGCUGACGCCUGCCCGGUGCUGGAAGGUUAAGGGGAUCUGUUAGAGCAAUCGAAGCAGUGAACUUAAGCCCCAGUAAACGGCGGCCGUAACUAUAACGGUCCUAAGGUAGCGAAAUUCCUUGUCGGGUAAGUUCCGACCCGCACGAAAGGCGUAACGAUUUGGGCACUGUCUCAACAACAGACUCGGUGAAAUUGUAAUUCCGGUGAAGAUGCCGGAUACCUGCGACAGGACGGAAAGACCCCAUGGAGCUUUACUGUAGCUUGACAUUGGGUCUUGGUACUACAUGUACAGGAUAGGUGGGAGGCUUUGAAACCAGGACGCCAGUUUUGGCGGAGCCAUCCUUGGGAUACCACCCUUGUAGUACUGGGACUCUAACCAUAGGCCAUGAAUCUGGUCUUGGGACACUGUCAGGUGGGCAGUUUGACUGGGGCGGUCGCCUCCCAAAAGGUAACGGAGGCGCUCAAAGGUUCUCUCAGUACGGUCGGAAAUCGUACGUAGAGUGUA